GACGAACGCUGGCGGCGUGCUUAACACAUGCAAGUCGAACGCUGAAGCACCAGCUUGCUGGUGUGGAUGAGUGGCGAACGGGUGAGUAAUACGUGAGUAACCUGCCCUUGACUCUGGGAUAAGCCCGGGAAACUGGGUCUAAUACUGGAUGCUACAUGUCACCGCAUGGUGGUGUGUGGAAAGGGUUUACUGGUCUUGGAUGGGCUCACGGCCUAUCAGCUUGUUGGUGAGGUAAUGGCUCACCAAGGCGACGACGGGUAGCCGGCCGGAGAGGGUGACCGGCCACACUGGGACUGAGACACGGCCCAGACUCCUACGGGAGGCAGCAGUGGGGAAUAUUGCACAAUGGGCGAAAGCCUGAUGCAGCGACGCCGCGUGAGGGAUGACGGCCUUCGGGUUGUAAACCUCUUUCAGCAGGGAAGAAGCCACAAGUGACGGUACCUGCAGAAGAAGCGCCGGCUAACUACGUG
rnacentral:rRNA from 1 species